AUAUAAUUUUAAUAAAAUGGCCUCUAGAAGAUAGGUAGUAUUUGAAGGAGUUUAAUGAGGUCUGAGGUUCAAAGAGAAGUCAAGAAGGAACAGAAAUGGGUCUCACAAAGUCUGUUAUCGAUGAUUAAGAUAAUUUUUUGUGCCUGCUGACAGGAUUUAGUGCCAAACAAAAUGUCGAUCACUACUGUGGCUCAGUACUGUUAUGUCCUCUGGAAAAUAAGUUCUGGAACAGAAAGACUCUUCCUUAGUCCCCUGGUUAAUGAGUAAAGCUAGCAAGUUUGCCUCUUGAUGAGCAACAAGUUAAGAAAUGUGCUAUAGGAGUACAUACUGUUAUGGAACUUGGGGAACUACUUCUACCUCAUCUGCAAAUGAUGUCUGUAAUAGCCAUGGCUUUUACAGCAUUCUUAUUACUAUCAUUAUAUAAUUAUACAAUUUUAGUCAAUUUUGCAUUAUUAAACAUACUAUCAUACUGUUUUGAUCUGAUAACAAAAUGCAUUUAAUAAGUAGAA